GAUGAAGAACGUAGCGAAAUGCGAUAAGUAAUGCGAAUUGCAGAAUUCCGUGAGUCAUCGAAUCUUUGAACGCACAUUGCGCCCUUUGGUAUUCCGAAGGGCAUGCCUGUUCGAGCGUCAUUAUCAACCCUCAAGCCCGGCUUGCCGUUGGGUCCCGUAGGGGUGCGAAUCUCAACGGACCUCAAAGAUAGUGGCAGAGCCCGUACGGACCCUGGAUGCAGCGAGCUUUCUGGCACGCAUCACAGCAAUCCGCCGGCUCGGUCUUAACCGUCAAUUUUUUUUCACUGGUUGACCUCGUAUCAGGUAGGGAUACCCGCUGAACUUAAGCAUAUCAAUAAGCGGAGGA
rnacentral:misc_RNA from 1 species